UGCCCCUGUAGUCUAGUUCGGUUAAGGACUUUGGCCUUUCAAGCCGAAAACCUGGGUUCAAAUCCCGGCGGGGGCAA
rnacentral:tRNA from 1 species